rnacentral:rRNA from 1 species
UACGUAGGGUGCAAGCGUUGUCCGGAAUUAUUGGGCGUAAAGAGCUCGUAGGCGGUCUGUCGCGUCGGCUGUGAAAACCUGGGGCUCAACCCCAGGCCUGCAGUCGAUACGGGCAGACUAGAGUCCGGCAGGGGAGACUGGAAUUCCUGGUGUAGCGGUGAAAUGCGCAGAUAUCAGGAGGAACACCGGUGGCGAAGGCGGGUCUCUGGGCCGAUACUGACGCUGAGGAGCGAAAGCGUGGGGAGCGAACAGG